GAACUUUCUCUCUUUGUGCCAGAUCACUUUGUAGUAUCUCACCUAACUUGAAACUCACAUCGCUUUCAUCCAAAUGCUGUUGUAUUUCCAUGAAUAAGGAAAUCUUUCUCUGGUCGUAGCUGUUUUUCAUGAAUUGCCAGACUUCGGAAUUCUCUUUCAACUCAUUGUAUUAUUCCUUCUUACGACCAGAACUCUUCCAGGUAAAUUCAUUCUUUUUUUCGUCUUAAUUUCUCCCUUUUCUUAGUCACUUACACUUAGUGGCUGUGUUAUUUAUAGGCAACAUUUAACUGUAAGACGUCUUCGUGAUAAACUGAAUGAAGCUUUACAGGUUGUAAUCGAAGCAAUAAAUAAGACCAAAGCUCGACCGCUAAAUACAUGUAUGUUCUUUGUUGUUGAUAUUUUGUAAAUAAAUGUCAUUAUUGUUCCUUUCGCUUGAACAAGGGACAUCUUGUCUCCCUGCUGUUUAAAUUUGAAUAAUUCUUUCGUUAAAAAUGUCAGAAAGGCAAUCAAUAUUUGGUUGUGGCGUUGGUAGUUGCGGUUGUAGUACUCACUCUGGCAAUGGUGAUUGUGAUAGUGAUGUUGCGAUGAAUUUUUACGGAGACGAUACAGAAAGUUGAUGGAGAUUAUUGUUUAAGCAAAUAAAAACAAAACCUUUGAUUUGUUGUUGGUGUUUCCUUCUUCAUACCUGGUUGAGAAAGGAUUCAGUACAGUUGUACAAUAAUUAACUAAACAGUGAAGGAGAUUUAAGUCUCUCUUAGAUAAACAUCAACUUUGUUUCCAGAAUAUAAUAAUUCGAUAAUUAUCGUAAAUUAUCUUACAUUUAUUUUCUUUUAUCUCAGAGAUAACCAAAAAUUGAUUUGUUAACACAAAUAAUAAAACUAGGAAUAGUUUAUUUAAAAUUUCGUUUGUAGUGUUGUCCUUUGUUCCCUCUCUGUACGUAUCUGUCUGUCUGUCUGUCUCUCACUCUGUGUGUGUAUGUAUAUAUAUAUAUAUAUAUAUAUAUAUAUAUAUAUAUAUAGGUAAACAUUAAAAAUAAUUACAGACAUGGACAAGAACAUGAAACGCCACAGAGACGACACAAGAACCACAGGACGGGACAUUCGAAGCCCUCAGUCAUCAGUCAAGAACCAGAUCAUCUUAGCAAUUUCGGAUAUAUAUAUAUAUAUAUA
rnacentral:lncRNA from 1 species